rnacentral:misc_RNA from 1 species
UUGGUGGGAGCAUAUCCUUUUGAGGACCCGGACGAGCCUAAAAAUUUUCACAAGACAAUACUUCGAAUUUUGAAAGUCCAGUACUCAAUUCCUGACUAUGUUCAUAUAUCUCCUGAGUGCCAGUAUCUGAUUUCAAGAAUAUUUGUGGCUGACCCUGCAAAGAGGAUAAGCAUUCCUGAGAUAAGGAAUCACGAGUGGUUUCUGAAGAAUCUUCCAGCAGAUCUCAUGGAUGAAAAUGCAAUGAACAACCAGUUUGAAGAGCCUGAUCAGCCCAUGCAGAGCAUCGAUGAAAUCAUGCAGAUAAUAUCUGAAGCCACCAUCCCAGCAGCUGGUGCCCAUAGUCUCAAUCAAUAUCUGACUGGAAGCCUGGACAUUGAUGAUGAGAUGGAUGAGGAUCUAGAGACUGAUCCUGAGCUUGACAUGGAUAGUAGUGGAGAGAUAGUAUAUGCCAUGUGAAUGCAGGACAGAACCCGCACCAUUUCUUUGGCGAUUAUAGUUAGAAAUUUGUGAUAUGAGCUGAGAAUCAAUGCACAAGAAUCCUGUCAUUUAUCACCUCUAAUGGAAUGAGUAUACUCCUGUAAUGUGGUUGCUACUUCAUAGUGGCAUAUGGACUGUUGUGCUCGCUUUGUAACAUGGUAAUGUAAUAAAGACAAGUCUUAAUCUGUGCUUAAUAGUAUCACAAAUUUCUAACUAUAAUUGCC